rnacentral:lncRNA from 1 species
CUCCAGAGUCCGGUGCACUCGCCUCCGCCUGUCCCUAAGUGGCCCGACUCGGCGGUCCAGGCACCCUGCCGCAGGGGAAUGGCCCGGGUGACCCCCCAGCCCCGCCUCCUGCAGGGCGCAAGGGGCCAGAGGGAAAAAUCUUUGCGGAGUUGAUGAAGUUGAAGUUUCGUAAAGGGCGUGAAGGAGACAGCCAAUCAGCGACUGCUCAUUUACAUGGGCUUUCUGAUUGGCUCUCACGGUGCCUCUUUAGAAUGUUACUUUGAAACCUUAAGAAAACGUUGAGCCAAGUCCCGCUGCCGAAAGGGAGGGAGCCGCUCAGACCCCUCAAGUUCCUGUAGGAACCCCCAGGCCAGCUCUGAUGGGAGGUGGGGAACUGAGAUAUGGUCUCGCCCAACCCUCAAGACACAGAACACCGCCUUGAGGCCAGAGGGUCAGAGAGAUGGAGAUUGGCCUGGACCCAGGCACUAGGUUCUGCCCAGCACCCUGCCAGGUGCCCAUCUCCUUACGGCUCUACGUGUAGUCAGGGGUCAUUUCAGACUGGAGGUCUCAAGAGGAGAGAGAAGGCCUGGCCUGGCUUGCAGGCACUUGCACGCAGGGAUUGCAGCCCCAUUUUACAGACGAGGAAACUGAGGCUCGGAGGAGGAAGAGGUUUGCUCAAGGCUGUAAAGUGGGCUCCUCCAAGCUCCUACGUGCAUCUUUCUCGCCCACAGACACACACUCACACACCCUGGGGAGCUGUUCCUCCGGGCGCUGUGCCUAGAUGGAGAUGAGAGGCCCCCAGCCGCCUGAGGACACUGGAGUGCACUGCUGGGACCGGUUCCAGGAAGCACCCUGGCCCAGGACCUGCGCGUAGUAGGUGCUCAGCUGCUGCCUGCCAAAUGAGGGCCCUGUGCAGGGGUAGGUAGCACACAGGAAGCCACUUAGAGGUUUCUAGACAUCCCGGAGCCUCGGCUUCCUCAACUGUAAGACAGAUGCUCAGUGUCCUCACCUCUUGGGUGGUUGGUAAAAAGCAACCGGAAAAACACACGUAAAGCAGUUCGCGUGGGUCUGGCCUCUGGAGGGGCCCCAUCACAGGUCAGACUGAUGCAUAUAGCUUUGCCACAACGAGUCCGCCACCAAGUCCGUGUACACGCAGCUCCCUCUGCCUAGGGCACCCCCGACUCUCCUCUGCUGACGCCACAUAUCUCUGCGUCUCCUCUUCAAGGCCGAGUGCAUCUGCCACUUCCUCCAGGACAACAGCCGUGGUCUCCUGCCACAUCCAGCACCCCCCUGGCACCCCGGUGGCUGGCCUCGCAUGCUGAGAGUGGGCCCAGCCUGCCUGGCUCAGGGCCUGCACACAGUAGGUGCUCCUGUGCUGCCUGCUGGUCUGACCGCCCUGUACCAGGUCAGCACACAGCAACCAGCAGUUAGGGCGCUUCUGCAGUUAAAAUAAACCCCUGAGGUCAUGGUCUGUUCUCUCUGCAAAAACAAAAAUAUCCAACUGCUUGUGUCUGGUGAGACCCACAGCAAGAGCAGGCGUGACGGCUUCACCACCCAGAGGCCAAGCAUCCGGCUCCCAGCCAGGUCCCCAUCUGAAAGGGCACCUGCCCAGGCCCGGGGUGACACUUAGAGGCAGUUGGCAUGGGACGAGUGUGCCCCAUGAGAAAGGUGGGCGCUCUGCUCCCCGGAGCCUUGAGCUCUGAGGAGCCUGCAAAGCAUUCUCCAUAUUUGAUUCACGAUAAAAAACACAGUAAACCAUAGACCCAAAACUUGUAUGUUGGCUGAAAUUAAAAUAGCUUCUUGCUCCGUUUUCUGGUUUCAAUAUUCUGGAUCAGCUCAUGGAAGCUGAAUCAGGCAAGGUGUCUGUCCCUCUUGUUUGUGUCUCUUGCUGCCCCUGCUUGGCUGGGCAAGCAGCACAUGCUUGGUGGCCCCUCUGGAGCAGACCCUGGCUGGGUCUGGGAGGUGGGGGACCCCCUGGCCCUGCGCUCCUGAGGCUGAUCCCCUCACUCCUGGGCCUUCCAGCACCCCCCGGCCCCCCCUCUUCCGGGGAACCUUGCGGCUGGGCCCGUGCCUGCGGCGAGUCUCACCCCAGUAUUAUUUUAGUCGCAGACAGACACGAGGCAGAUGGUGACAACAUCCCUUCCCCGCUCCCCACUGACGAGCUGUUGCCGCCCUGAAGCCUCAGGGUUCUUCUCCCUCAGGAAUAUUUCAAUCCGGACUCGGUGGCUAAAUGCGGCUGCUCUUGUGAGACGCGGACACAUCUGCUCUUCCUCCUCCCCACCCCCACCCAUUUCCUGGGCUGAGCAGAGAGCCCCGGGGCGGCCUGCCCACCUCCGUUCUGCCCCAUCCCCUGAGCCGCCCUCGUGGACCAGGCCCCACGCCCUGCGCACUGUACCAUGGGGGGUGGGCAGGGGGCAAUUAUCGUGCCCACCUUACCGAGGAGGAAGCCGAGGCUCCGAGUGAAACAGGGCCCCAUCCCAGCUCACAGAGCCAGACCAGCAGCGUUCCCGGGGGUCCAACUGCGCCCUGGAGAUGGAAGGUACCUUCCCUCCCCUCACCUGCAUGUCCACCUGGCCACCUCUAUGCACAGCCUUUGGGGACCACCCCAGGCACCCCGCCUUCCCUGCACAGCAACCAGGAGCUCACUAUUGAGUUGCUGUAUCCACUCCCCUCAUCAGCCAUCACCCAGGGGGGCACAAGGCUAGCCAAGCUUCCCGUGCCCACCCCCUUGCCCUGCUGGUCCCGUAGCUGAGUGAGCACGUAGGGCAAGGGCAGCGUGGCUCUGGCGUGAGACAGGCCUGGUUUCGAAUCCCAGCUUUGCCAAGCCUUUGGGCAAAUCCAUGAACCCCUCAGGACCUGGGUCUUCUACUGUGAAACAUACGGCUGGCCCC